CAGGUAGGAGUUGGGGAGCUAGUUGCUCGGCACUGAAAAGAGCUUAUGUGGCUUUACUACCAUCAGUGUUUGAUUAUGGCAGCAUUGCCUAUGGGUCAGCUGCUAGAUCAAGGCUUAAGAAGCUGGAUGUGAUUCAGGCACAGGCGCUGAGAGUCUGCAGUGGGGCUGUUAAGACAACGCCACUACCUGCGUUACAGCAGCAGAAUCACUUCACAGACGUUCAGCAGCUUCAUGACGAUCAUUUCCUGCCUUCACAAGCUUCUUACCUGACCACCAGAGGGCGGGCUCUUCUGUCCAGUGGACUCACCUGCAGUGAAGGGCUGUAAAGUGUGAUGCAAACAGCGUCUUGAUAGGUGGCGCUCUGCUAUGAAUCAGAUCAAGGACAGUGAAGAGGAAACUCCGCCCUCUAAAACCACUCUGUGUGAGGAACAUGAGGGUCAGAGGAGGAUCCAUCAACAGGGACCAGACUCUGCCAGACCUGGACCUGGACCCAGCUGUGUGUCCAUGAAGAGUGACCGGUCCAUGUAUGAACCUUUGAACUUCAAACAAGAACAGAGGAGGAUCCAUCAACAGGGACCAGACUCUGCCAGACCUGAACCUGGACCCAGCUGUGUGUCCAUGAAGAGUGUCUAUAGGUCGUCUUAUUAAUUUCAAGGAUGGACAAAAACAUGUUGAACUGAUAGUUGAUCAGCAGAGGACAGAGGUUUUCAGUGGUCAGUCUGUCCAGCAGCAUGGAGCAGACCUGGACUCCAUAUUUAAGAUUCAUGUGAACUGGAACUGGACACAAACACAAUGAACAGACACCUCAAACUGUCUGACGACAACAGGAAAGUGACCCGUGUGAGAGAAUAUCAGUGGUAUCCUGAUCAUCCAGACAGAUUUGACGUCUGUCCUCAGCUGCUGUGUAGACCUGGUCUGACUGGUCGCUGUUACUGGGAGGUCGAGUGGAGAGGAAGAGUUUAUAUAUCACUGAGUUACAGAGGAAUCAAGAGGAAAGGCGACAGUUCUGACUGUUGGUUUGGACGUAAUGAUCAGUCCUGGAGUCUGAUCUGCUCUGAUGUUCAUGGUUACUCUGUCCUUCACUGUAGGACACAAACAUCCAUCAUGUCCUCUGUCUCUCACAGAGUAUCAGUGUAUGUGGACUGUCCUGCUGGAACUCUGUCCUUCUACAGCGUCUCCUCUGACUCACUGAUCCACCUCCACACCUUCAGGACCACAUUCACUGAACCGGUUUAUCCUGGGUUCCUGGUCUGGCCUGGUUCCUCAGUGUCUCUGUGUCCUCUGUAGGACAUGAAGAGACAGCAGCUUCAGUGGUGGACGAGGUCAAAGCUCGUCUCAGUCAUUCUUUGUUGAAACCAUCAAUAAAUAAAGACUUAAAAAAUCAA